rnacentral:rRNA from 1 species
GACCCGUCUUGAAACACGGACCAAGAAGUCUAGCUUGUGCGCGAGUCAAUGGGUGUGUAAACCCAGAGGCGAAAUGAAAGUAAAGGUUGCGGACGUGCACAUAGCUGGGACCCGAAAGAUGGUGAACUAUGCCUGAGCAGGAUGAAGCCAGAGGAAACUCUGGUGGAAGUCCGAAGCGGUUCUGACGUGCAAAUCGAUCGUCUGACUUGGGUAUAGGGGCGAAAGACUAAUCGAACCAUCUAGUAGCUGGU